rnacentral:rRNA from 1 species
UCCUACGGGAGGCUGCAGUGGGGAAUUUUGGACAAUGGGGGAAACCCUGAUCCAGCCAUUCCGCGUGUGUGAUGAAGGCCUUCGGGUUGUAAAGCACUUUUGGCAGGAAAGAAAUUGCUUGGGCUAAUACCCCGAGCGGAUGACGGUACCUGCAGAAUAAGCACCGGCUAACUACGUGCCAGCAGCCGCGGUAAUACGUAGGGUGCAAGCGUUAAUCGGAAUUACUGGGCGUAAAGCGUGCGCAGGCGGUUCGGAAAGAAAGAUGUGAAAUCCCAGGGCUCAACCUUGGAAUGGCAUUUUUAACUCCCGAACUAGAGUGUGUCAGAGGGGGGUGGAAUUCCGCGUGUAGCAGUGAAAUGCGUAGAGAUGCGGAGGAACACCGAUGGCGAAGGCAGCCCCCUGGGAUAACACUGACGCUCAGGCACGAAAGCGUGGGGAGCAAACAGGAUUAGAUACCCUGGUAGUCAC